rnacentral:rRNA from 1 species
UACGUAGGGCGCAAGCGUUAUCCGGAAUUAUUGGGCGUAAAGAGCUCGUAGGCGGUUUGUCGCGUCUGCUGUGAAAACCCGAGGCUCAACCUCGGGCCUGCAGUUGGUACGGGCAGACUAGAGUGCGGUAGGGGAGAUUGGAAUUCCUGGUGUAGCGGUGGAAUGCGCAGAUAUCAGGAGGAACACCAAUGGCGAAGGCAGAUCUCUGGGCCGUAACUGACGCUGAGGAGCGAAAGCAUGGGGAGCGAACAGG